ensembl:lncRNA
GGAACGCCAAUUAAACAGUGCACGAGACUACGGGCUCUUCCGCGCGACCUGAGGUGAUGAGUGAUGCACAACAGGAGCUUUCAAAAUAUUCAAACAAAAAAUGUAAGUGUGAUAUUUGCAGCUAUACAGAGACCGGCUGGCUAUCUGGAAAUGGAUUCCAAGAUUGUUAUUGCAGGAGUAAUGUGCUCUGGAGAGACUGUAGCUUGACUUCAUAAACAGCUGAAGCAGUUGAACAGAGAAGCCAAAGUUUGAAUAGGAUGUCUGCAAGAAAACGGCUAAAUGCAGAGAAGAGUUUCAGAGUGGUUGUCUGUCUGUGUGCCUAUGAACCCGGAGCCUCUAUCAAAGUGACACAGAUCAACAGAGUAGUUGUUGACACUGGAAGGAGUCACAAGCCUCAUAUUAUAGACCUUGAUGCAGUCUUAAAUGAGGAGGCAUCUCAGAGAGAUGUUUAUGAGUCAACAACAAAGUCUCUGGUCGAAUAUCUAAUGCAGGGUUAUAAUGGCUGUGUAAUUGUCUAUGGCUCUCCGGGCAGCGGUAAGACUCACACCAUGCAAGGAUGCAGUGUGUCAGCCAAACACAGAGGCAUCAUCAGCCGCGCAGCUGAGGACAUCUUCGCCUGUAUCAAACCUUCAGGCUGUUGGAUUUAGAAAGUCACAUCUUAAGAUUUCAUGUUCUUUUGUAGACAAGAGAGACUUAUAACACAUACUGUAUAUUGCAAUAACAUUCCAUUCCUCAUUCACUGCAUCAGCAUCCUAGAACAAUCCUUAAUUUGAAUAAUCCAGCCCCCAAGGCAUCUCACUGCAAAAUCAGUGUCUCAUUUUACCACAUUUUCAAUGAAAAAAUAUAUGACCUAUUGGUAAGUAUUUUUGGAAUAAUUAAAUCACUGUAUCAGUUAAAUCAAUCAAUCACAAUUAUUCUACAUAAAUGCAUUUGGCAGAAUCUUUUUUUUUCUUAAGAGAAACGUACAUUGCACACAUUUAUCAGUUCAUGGGAACAUUCACAUGGCUGUGGUAUUUCUGGUGGCACUACAGGAAUGGAAUAUUAAGCCUCAUUAUCAUCAUAAAAUUUGAUUCUUAUUACAACAUUUUAAUGUUUUUGAAAGAAGUCUUAAUAAAAAAAUAAAAACAGUAAUAUUGUGUAAUAAU